AUAUGAACUAAUCAGUACCCCCAGAACUCGUGUCUCUAGCUGCAUAUGUAGCAGAAGAUGGCCUAGUCGGCCAUCAUUAGGAAGAGAGGCCCCUUGAUCUAGCAAACUUUAUAUGUCCCAGUAGAGGGGAUAGCCAGGGCCAAGAAGUGGGAGUGACUGGGUAGGGGAGCAGGGUGGUAGGAGGAUAUAGGAGACUUUUGGGAUAGCAUUUGAAAUGUAAAUGAAAAAAAUAUCUAAAAAAUAAAAAAGAGUAAAAUUAAUUAAAUAAAUAAAUGAAUAAUAAGUAUUCCAAGUAAUAUUAGGGAUUGAUGCUUGUCCAUGGGAUGAGUCUCAAGUUGGGUAAGGUAUAGGUUGGCUCUUUCCUUAGUGUCUGUUCCAUCUUUGUGCCUGCAUUUCCUCCUUUCCUCUCCUUUCCUUUCCUUUCCUUUCCUUUCCUUUUCUUUUCUUUUCUUUUCUUUUCUUUUCUUUUCUUUUCUUUCUUUCCUUCUUUCUUAAGAUUUAUUUAUUUAUUAAUUAUUAGUAUGCUGUAGCUGUUUUGAGACACCCAGAAGUGACACAGGUGAACCUUAUAGUUCAGUUUCCUUCUAAAAUAACUUGCUGAUUUGAUUGUAACUUCUCUGUCAGGGAAUAGUGGAGGAAACACCAGAAGUACAUGUAUAUAUUGUCAAGGAGGCAUAUAUUUAUUUACAGUGAUGUCAGGAUUAUGCUUUGUGUUGUCCAAAUCUAUGGGAUAUUUUAGGAUGCAGUGACUUAUGAUGAUGUGAGUGUGAACUUCACUGAGGAAGAGUGGGAUUUGCUGGAUCCUUCCCAGAAAAGUCUCUAUGAAGAGGUGAUGCUGGAGACCUACCAGAACAUCACUGCUAUAGGCUACAAUUUGGAAGACCAUCAUAUUGAAGAACAUAGUCAAAGUUCUAGAAGACAUGAAAGGCAUGAAAGAAUUCAUAUUGGAGAGAAACCGUAUGAACGUAACCAGUGUGGUAAAGCCUUUGCAAGUGACAAUCAUCUCCAAAUACAUAAAAGAACAAAUACUGGAGAGAAACCUUAUGAAUGUAAUCAAUGUGGUAAAGCCUUUUCACAACGCAGUAAUCUCCAAUAUCAUAUUAGAAGUCAUACUGGAGAGAAGCCCUAUAAAUGUAAUCAGUGUGGUAAAGCCUAUGGACAUCACAGUAGUCUCCAAUAUCAUAAAAGAACACAUACUGGAGAGAAACCUUAUCACUGUAAUCAAUGUGAUAAAGCAUUUUCAGAACACAGUAGUCUUGAAUAUCAUAAAAUAACACAUACUGGAGUGAAACCUUAUGAGUGUGAUCAAUGUGGUAAAGCCUUUGCAUGGCAGUCUAGUCUCAAUAUACAUAAAAGAACACAUUCUGGAGAGAAACCUUAUAAGUGUAAUGAAUGUGGUAAAGCCUUUGCACAUCACAAUAGUCUCCA
rnacentral:lncRNA from 1 species